UACGGGGGGGGCAAGCGUUGUUCGGAAUUACUGGGCGUAAAGGGCGCGUAGGCGGCCUGCUAAGUCGGACGUGAAAUCCCCCGGCUCAACCGGGGAACUGCGUCCGAUACUGGUGGGCUCGAAUCCGGGAGAGGGAUGUGGAAUUCCAGGUGUAGCGGUGAAAUGCGUAGAUAUCUGGAGGAACACCGGUGGCGAAGGCGGCGUUCUGGACUGUAACUGACACUGAUGAACGAAAGCCAGGGGAGCAAACGGG
rnacentral:rRNA from 1 species